AGAAUGCCCUCAGGGUCAACGGUGUGCUGCAACGAGAGACGUUGAAUACGAAGGUAUUUCAAAAGGAUUAAAAUAAAC